AACACGUGGAGAACCUGCCCCCUCCCCCGGGAUAGCCGCCCGAAAGGACGGGUAAUACCGGAUACCCCGGGGUGCCGCAUGGCACCCCGGCUAAAGCCCCGACGGGAGGGGAUGGCUCCGCGGCCCAUCAGGUAGACGGCGGGGUGACGGCCCACCGUGCCGACAACGGGUAGCCGGGUUGAGAGACCGACCGGCCAGAUUGGGACUGAGACACGGCCCAGACUCCUACGGGAGGCAGCAGUGGGGAAUCUUGCGCAAUGGGGGGAACCCUGACGCAGCGACGCCGCGUGCGGGACGGAGGCCUUCGGGUCGUAAACCGCUUUCAGCA
rnacentral:rRNA from 1 species